GAGUYYGAUCAUGGCUCAGAKUGAACGCUGGCGGCAGGCCUAGCACAUGCAAGUCGAGCGGUAGAGAGAAGCYYGCUYCUCUUGAGAGCGGCGGACGGGUGAGUAAUGCCUAGGAAUCUGCCUAGUGGUGGGGGAWWAMSKUYSGRAAMSGGACGCUAAUACCGCAUACGUCCUACGGGAGAAAGCGGGGGACCUUCGGGCCUCGCGCCAUUAGAUGAGCCUAGGUCGGAUUAGCUAGUUGGUGAGGUAAUGGCUCACCAAGGCGACGAUCCGUAACUGGUCUGAGAGGAUGAUCAGUCACACUGGAACUGAGACACGGUCCAGACUCCUACGGGAGGCAGCAGUGGGGAAUAUUGGACAAUGGGCGAAAGCCUGAUCCAGCCAUGCCGCGUGUGUGAAGAAGGUCUUCGGAUUGUAAAGCACUUUAAGUUGGGAGGAAGGGUAGUAACUUAAUACGUUGCUACUUUGACGUUACCGACAGAAUAAGCACCGGCUAACUUCGUGCCAGCAGCCGCGGUAAUACA
rnacentral:rRNA from 1 species